rnacentral:rRNA from 1 species
CCUACGGGAGGCAGCAGUGAGGAAUAUUGGACAAUGGGCGCAAGCCUGAUCCAGCCAUGCCGCGUGCAGGAUGAAGCAUCUAUGGUGUGUAAACUGCUUUUGUACGAGAAGAAACACUGCUUCGUGAAGCAGCUUGACGGUAUCGUAAGAAUAAGGAUCGGCUAACUCCGUGCCAGCAGCCGCGGUAAUACGGAGGAUCCAAGCGUUAUCCGGAAUCAUUGGGUUUAAAGGGUCCGUAGGCGGCCUUAUAAGUCAGUGGUGAAAUCUCACGGCUCAACCGUGAAAUGGCCAUUGAUACUGUAGGGCUUGAAUUAUUAGGAAGUAACUAGAAUAUGUAGUGUAGCGGUGAAAUGCUUAGAGAUUACAUGGAAUACCAAUUGCGAAGGCAGGUUACUACUAAUGGAUUGACGCUGACGGACGAAAGCGUGGGUAGCGAACAGGAUUAGAUACCCUGGUAGUCCACGCCGUAAACGAUGGAUACUAGCUGUUGGGGGCAACCUCAGUGGCUAAGCGAAAGUGANAGUAUCCAACCUGGGGAGUUAGUUGUGAGAGUAGAAGUUAAUUAGAGUUAGAGNGNGAGAGNGCGAGCGACGACGAGGAGGAGG